rnacentral:lncRNA from 1 species
GCCAUAACAGGGUAUUGAACUAUUAGAAAAUACCAUUUGGGUAUUUCGAUGAGAAGAAUAGAAUCUAUGAAGAUGCUAAACAAAGACCAUACAUUCCAUAUGGUUUGGGCAGAUAAAGAAGUAGUAAAACCUAUAUUCUAAAUUCUAAGCAAACCAUUCCUGGGCAGUGGCCACCGGAAGCUGGACCUCAGAGCCUGAAACCUGGAUGUCAAAACCCAUCACUUCGCAUACAGCUCAUUCUAGGUUGUCAGAUUUUCCUGUGUGGAGUUGCUCAUCUCACUCUGAUGGAAGCCAGCUGCUAUGUUGUGUGUUGCUCUAUGGAGAGGCCCAGGUAGAAGAAAUUGAAGGAGGCUUUCGACCAACAGUCAGCAAGGAACUGAGGCUUUCAGUCCAAGAGCCUAUAAGGAACUGAAUCCUACCAGCAACCAGGCAAGUGGUUUCAAAGUGGAGCCUCUGUCAGCUGAGGCUUUGAAUAAGAUCACAGCUCCAUGUAACAUCUUGAUUGUAGUCUUGUGAGAGAUCUUGAGCCAGUGGCACCCAGCUAAGCUGUACCUGUAUUCCUGAGCAAUAAAACCCCACAGAUAAUAAAUGUUUGUCAUUAACUGUGAAAUCUUGCAGGUAAUUUGUUCUGGAGAAAGAGAUAACAAAUACACAGAUCAUAUAAAUAAAGUGGCUCAGUUGACCUGGAACUCGGGGAUCUGAUUCCAGGGUCUGUAUUCUUUAUCUCUGUGCAAUGAAGACUUUGAUUAGCCUGCACUUUUAUAAGCUACUAUUUCCACCACAUUGAAUUUGAUAGUCUUUCAGUUCUUCUUUGAUUCUAUUUGUUCUUCUUUGAAAGAACCUUUUCUAACUAGAAACAAACUGUUGCUGAAAUGAGGUAUUAUUUUCCACGUAGGCAAUUUCUUUGAGUCAUGGAAAUUUAGGGUUAGAAGGAACUUAAAAAUCCACAUAGUCCAAAUCAAC